AACCCAUGUGAAACCUAGACCUCUGAAAAAUGGGGUCCUAAUGUAGAGCGUUCUCUUCUGUAAUUUCUGCAUUUGGUAUGUUGUUACCUUCCUUAUCCUAGCUCCCCCCACCCCAACCACUUUUUUGUGUUUAUAUAUAUACACCAUAAUAACUCUUGGCCUUCUCUACUAGUUUUAUUUGUCUCUGAACUGUAAAGAAAACUGGAUUCAAGUUUUUAAUAGAGAGAGAGAGAGAGAGACAAAUUCCUUUGGAAUAAAUUUGACCCAUUUAUAUUUGCUUUGAAGAGCUAAAUGUUCUAUUAACUUUGUUGACUUUGUAUUGUUCUAUUGGAUAUAAAGGUUUAGACAUCUUUAUAUUAUGAACAUAUUAAAAUUAAUGGUUUAUUAAAUAACAU